rnacentral:lncRNA from 1 species
UCCCAAUGCAGCCAUUGGAUCCUGCUUCAUCUCACAUUCCCACAAAGUCAACUCGGCAAUGUUUGCUGGCAAAAAUUUCAAACUAUGAUGGCUCAAAUGUGGAUCUUCUCGUAUCUUCCCUCUUAAUAAUAGUUUUGAUAGGUGAUGGCAACGAGAAAGGGGUUCCAAGUCUGGGUAUGGGAUUGAAUCCUUUGACCACAAGUACAAUGACCCAAGGCGUUGUGAUUUAAUCAGUGCUUUUAGGAUAGGCUCCACAUCUUUUGAUCUCUCAAAACGUAUUCCUAAACUCCGAAUAUUAGUCAAGUCGAGCACUGCAUUAUUUUCACUUAAACUCUUGCUCCCUAUGUACUUUAAAGUUUCAAUAUUUUUUAAAGUAUCCCUCAGCAACAAAGGCACAAAAUUACCUCGAUGGCCUACUACGAUAUGCCUCAAGCGUCUCAACCUGAAUAAAACAUCAGGAAUUCUUGGUACUUCAUAUGAGAGGUAUAAAGUGUGUAAAUUCUUCAACUUGCCAAUAGACCGUGGCAAGAUGAUGGUUCCAUAAGAUGUUAACCUCAAAUACCUCAAAUGAUAUAGAUUACCAAUUUCACUUGACACAUGCCACUCGAACGACAUAUCAUUUCCCACAAGAUUCAACACCCUUAAGAAUUUAAAAUCAUUGCAUUUUGAAAUGUGUAAUUUUAUCAAUCUUUCAUUCUGAAAGAGCAAAAGAGUGCGUAAAUUUGGAUGUUUUCCUUUCAAUGAAACAUACCUUUUGCUAGGAUGAAUAGCAAUUCUUCGUGCCAUAGAUGCUGUCAAAGUCACAUGAAGAGAAUUACCAUCGCUUUCGUUCGAUGGUGGCUGAAUAAUUUCUAAGAAAUUCUCCUCUUGAGCUUUUUUCACACACAAGUCCCUCAAGAGAUCAUGUACGUGACAUGUUUUCACACCUGUUCCUCUAUGGUCUCUCUUACCAACUUGAACCAAACAUCUAUUUAUCAGCUGUUCCAGGAAUUGUUCAGCUACAUCCUCCAUCAACAUUUCCCCGCUUUUCCAUGAUGGUGAAAUGAAACCUUCAGCAAUCCAUAAUCGAAUGAGUUCUUUUUUUGAGAUCUCCCAAUCUUCUGGAUAAUGCCCAAGAUAUAAGAAGCAUGGUUUUAAAUGGAAGGGUAACUCAUUAUAACUUAAAGCCAAAAUCCCAUUCACUCCACCAUAGCGAUGAUCUUCUUGUUGGAACUUGUUCAAGUGCGCAUUAAUGUCGCUGUGAACCAUCUCCCACUGAGCUGGUGACUUUUUUGUUGCCAGCAAGCCUCCUAAAACAGCAAUUGCCAAAGGUAGACCUCCACAUUUUUUCACCAUCUCUCUUCCUAGAAUCUCCAAUUCCUCUGGGCAAGCAUGAAACUCUGUCUUCUUUCCUGGGAAUGCUUUCAUUUUAAAAAGCUUCCAACUUUCAUCCUCGGUAAGAAAUCGAACCUCUACUGGGGAGUUGCAAGGAUCGGCAUGCAAUGCCAAGUCCUUGUGGCGUGUUGUGAAUAAAAUUUUGCUCCCCUUUCUUCCUCGUGGAAAAGCAGGUUUAAAAUUGUCCCAAUCUUCACUUCUCCAGAUAUCAUCAAGAACCACCAAAUACCGUUUUUCUUUCAAGACAUCAUAAAGCCUUUUCACCAACUCAUGCUCUUUCAGUUUAUCGAUUAGCUCCCUUUCUUCUUUAGAAGGAGAGAGAAGUUUUAAGAGGAGAUCAUGCAAAACUUCUCUUGGCAUACACUGUUGAGAUAUAAAAGCCCAAGCACAACAAUCAAAAUGUCGUUUCACAUCAACGUGCUUAUAAACCUUUUUUGCCAGAGUGGUCUUACCUAUGCCCCCCAUGCCGACUAUAGAAACAACGACAUGAAGUCUAUCUUCUUCUGUCAUCAACUGAGCCAAAACCUCUUUUGUGGUAUCCUCCAAGCUAACAACAUCCUCUUCCUCAACAUGUGUAUAUGUUCUCCUAAACCGCUGCUGCAUCUCGAAAACAGAGCUAGACCCCUCUGUUCCAGAUAUCCGAUUAUAAGCCGGAAGACUCUUAGAAAUGCUUUCAAGCUUAGUCUGGAUUCCUUUGACCUUCACCCCAAUUUUGUGCAAAUGAGAAGGCUUGGUGAAUUUCUUGAUGAUUCCAUGAAAGCCCCUCUGAUGUGCGGCAUGAAGAAUAGAGUCGUCAAUAACAUCUUCUGCUUCAUAAGCAAGAUCUCUGAUUUGUCUCACCAAAGUGCGGUUAAGCUUAUUUUGAUCUUGCCUACUGUCUGCAUCCUCCAAGGAGCUCUUCAUCCGCUCCAGUUCAGCCUUGAGGCCCUCCACUUCCUCACGAACUCCACGCAGGAAAACAGCCUCAUGAAUGAGUAAAUCCGAUAUUCUUUCAAUAGCUAAGGACACAAUAGCAUCUGCCAUUUCUCCUGCUGAUUGAAAUUACUCUUCUUUUUUCAAGAUUUCAAACUGAUCCGCCUGUUUCUUGUAUAUGUAUUAGCUUUAGCUGGUAGCUAUACUUGACUAAAUUGAUAUCCUUUUCUCAUUCCUUCUGUUUGGGUUUCGAUUUAUCUAUUUCUCUUUAUCAAAAGGUGUGAAAGCCUGUUGUCUAUUUGACAUUGGACAAGAAAAGCAAAAGGUAGAAGGAAUCUCUUUCCUUACUUUCUUGUCCACUAGUAAUUAUUGAAUUCAAUCCCAACUUGCACUGUCUGUGGAUUAAUAUCCCCACCCUGAGAAUAAUUAUCGAAUAGAGAAUUACUCUGUUUUAGGAAAGUCCAAUACUUAGGUUACCUGUUAUUGGUGUUUAAAUGAAGUGAUUUAAUCUGAGCCAUGAGCCCGGAAUGGAGAUAACAAGCAAAAUUGCUUUAGCGUUUUUACCAUUUGUGAACUGCAAAUAGGCACUUGUCAAAGAGUGAGAAAACAUAAUGCAAGAAAAUUAACCAUGUGGCUAAAGACCCAAUAUAUUUUUUAAUUUUACUAUAUUUUUCUUGAUUGUUGUUCAUUAAAUGUUAUUUAUGUGUUAUGAUAUUAUCAUGUCAUAAAAGAUCUAUUGUAGUGUGGGAUACACCCACAUCUUUUAAAAACUAAAAAUAAAAAAAAAAUCAAUGCAUAGAAGAUUUAAUAAAAUGAUUACUGUUUUUGUCAAGCUGAGAGAAAAUCUAGAGGAAGCCAACAUGAAGCAUGUUCCGAGUUCAAGAAGAUAUAUAUGUCCAGUAAAUUUUUUGUUAUUAGUACCAAAUCUUAAGCAUUUAAUGUUUAUUUAAAUCCUUAAUUAUUCAUUUAAUAAUAUUUUGGGUCAUUAAUCAUAUUAUCAUUUUGCCAAUUAUUAUGGAAAAGAAAUUGAAAUUGUGACUUUUCCUACAAUUUUAUCAAAUUGGAAAUGGGAAUUGAAUCCCGUAUUAGAAAGAAAGAUCAUAAUGAAGAGUUGUAUGCUCAAACAGACAAAAAAAAGUAUUUUUUAAGAAAAAAUUGAAAGACCUACCUAUAUAAGGAAUCUUAGAGAGGUACAAUAAAUAUAUUGUAAUUCAAAUAUAAUCAAUAAAAUUAAUGAUAUGAAUAAUGUUCAAUGUAGAUUUCUGCAAAAAAAUAAUGUUCAAUGUACAAUAAAUAAAACUGAUUGAUCGUUUUACUGUUAAUGUUAUGAAAUUUAAUUCAUUGAAAAAAUAAAUUAUUUAAUAUAAUAAUCUUAAAGAGUGUCUGAAAGCAAUAAUUACCAGAACUUAACAAUGAUUGAAUGCAUAAUUAAUUAUAUAUACUUUAGUCAAUAUUUCUAAUUCCCAUGUAACGUUGAAUAACUGAAUUUCUUCCAUCUUUUUCAAUUGUCUUUGGAUUUACUUUAACUGCAGCACAAAUUAGGCGAAAACCCAAAGCUUCAAUAACACAAAACAAUGUGGAAGGCCUGCCUUGAAUACCAUACACUAGUUGCCUCUUUCUUUAAUCUUUUCUUUUUCUUUGGAUAAGCCAAUAAUUUAGAAGAGAAAGGUUGCAAAAAUAAGAUAGAAUGAAAUAUUAUUUGUUAUCUUCUGCCCCAUCAUAAGCAUUAAAUUGAAGUCUACAAAAUAACAAUCGGUUCAUUCAAACUCACAGCAAUUCAUUUCUAAAAAGCACAUGGUCAUUAGAUUCAAUUAUCCAGAAAAAAAAUACAGAUUAAACUUUCAAACAAUCAAAAAGCAAAUUCAGAUGAUCCCCCAUGUUGAUCUUAUUGGUAGAGUAUAUUUCUGGGCCGAUUUGAUUUACAUACACCAAGAAGAAAAUGGCAUCAUCUCUUGUGAAAAGAAUAGACCCCGAUCAAAACAAAAAAGAUUAUCAUAGAAUUGUCUAACUCACAUGCAAUUACUUUGAGUUGAGGAUUGACAUUGCAAAAUUAGAGUUUUUAACCUUCCCACGUAUCACUUAUUUGGAUGGAGGGAAUGUGGCACACUUUAGAGAAAUCCUCUCCUUCUCUUCUGUCUAUCACUUGAAUCCUCUCUACCAAUGACCUCUUCAUUCUGUAUAAUUCCAUUUCCUGGAGAGCAGUAACAUACCUCAACCCUUCUGGAAAAAUCCUCAAAUUUGGAAUCGAACUCAGACUUAAACUCCGAAGAUGUGGCAUUGCGCCUUGUUCUAUCUGCCACUCUUCUAAUUCUUCUAACUCCCAAAUACCAAGACAAUCAAGUUGAAGAAACUCGCUGGCAGAGCAAACCAGUUUAGUCCCCUUAUAUGAGAGAGUCGAUAAUUGGAGAGUCCUCAAAUGAGGCAGCUUUCCCAAUACAGCCAUUGGAUCCUGCUUCAUCUCACAAUCCCACAAAGUCAACUUGAUAAUGUUUGCUGGCAAAAAUUUCAAAAUAUGAUGGCUCAAAUGUGGAUCUUCUCGUAGCUUCCCUCUUAAGAAUAGUUUUGAUAGGUGAUCGCAAUGAGAAAGGGGUUCCAAGUCUGGGUAUGGGAUUGAAUCCUCUAACCGCAUGUACAAUGACCUAAGGCGUUGUGAUUUAAUAAGUGCUUUUAGGAUAGGUUCCACAUCUUUUGAUCUCUCAAAACUUAUUCCUAAACUCCGAAUAUUACUCAAGUCGAGCACUGCAUUAUUUUCAAAUAAACUCUUGCUCCUUAUGUACUUUAAAGUGUCAAUAUUUUUUAAAGUACCCCUUAGCGGCAAAUGCAAAUAUAUACUUACUAUAAUAUGUCUUAAGCAUCUCAACUUGAAUAAAACAUCAGGAAUUCUUGGUGCUCCAUUUUGGAGGUAUAACGUGUGUAAAUUCUUCAACUUGCCAAUAGAUGGUGGCAAGAUGAUAUCUCCAAAACACAUUAACCUCAAAUACCUCAAAUGAUAUAGAUCACCAAUUACACUUGACACAUGCCACUUGGACACAUUCUUUCUCACAAGAUUCAACACCUUUAAGAAUUUGAAAUUAUUGCAUUUUGAAAUGUGCAAUUCUAUCAAUUUUUCAUUUUGAAAGAGCAACAGAGAACGUAAAUUUUGAUGUUUUCCCUUCAAAAAAACAUACCUUUUACUAGGAUGAAUAGCAAUUCUUCGCGUCAUAGAUGUUGUCAAGGUCACAUGAAGAGAAUUACCAUCGUUUUCAAUCAAUGAUGGCUGAAUAAUUCCCAAGAAAUUCUCCUCUUGAGCUUUUAGCACACACAAGUCCCUCAAGAGAUCAUGUAUUUGAAAUGUUUUCACAAUUAUUCCUGUAUGGUCCCUCUUGCCAACUUGAACCAAACAUCUAUCUAUUAGCUCUUCUAGAUAUUGUUCAGCUACAUCCUCCAUCCGCAUUCCCACGCUUUCAAAUGAUGGUGAAAUGAAACCUUCAGCAAUCCAUAAUCGAAUGAGUUCUCCUUUUGAGAUCACCUUAUCUUCUGGAUAAUGACCGAGAUAUAGGAAGCAUGGUUUUAAAUGAAAGGGCAACUCAUUGUAGCUUAAAGAUAAAAUCCCAUUCACUCCACCAUAAUGAUGAUCUUGUUGUUGGAACUUGUUUAACUGUGCAUUAAUGUUUCUGUGAACCAUCUCCCACUGAGCUCGUGACUUUUUGGUUGCUAGCAAGCCUCCCAACACAGCAAUUGCCAAAGGUAGACCUCCACAUCUUUUCACCAUCUCUCUUCCUGGCAUUUCCAAUGCUUCUGGACAAACAUGAGACUCUGUCUUGUUUUCUGGGAAUGCUUUCAUUCUAAAAAGCUUCCAACUUUCAUCCUCGGUAAGAAAUCGAACCUCUACUGGGGAGUUGCAAGGAUCGGCAUGCAAUGCCAAGUCCUUGUGGCGUGUUGUGAAUAAAAUUUUGCUCCCCUUUCUUCCUCGUGGAAAAGCAGGUUUAAAAUUGUCCCAAUCUUCACUUCUCCAGAUAUCAUCAAGAACCACCAAAUACCGUUUUUCUUUCAAGACAUCAUAAAGCCUUUUCACCAACUCAUGCUCUUUCAGUUUAUCGAUUAGCUCCCUUUCUUCUUUAGAAGGAGAGAGAAGUUUUAAGAGGAGAUCAUGCAAAACUUCUCUUGGCAUACACUGUUGAGAUAUAAAAGCCCAAGCACAACAAUCAAAAUGUCGUUUCACAUCAACGUGCUUAUAAACCUUUUUUGCCAGAGUGGUCUUACCUAUGCCCCCCAUGCCGACUAUAGAAACAACGACAUGAAGUCUAUCUUCUUCUGUCAUCAGCUGAGCCAAAACCUCAUUUGUGAUAUCCUCCAAGCUAACAACAUCCUCUUCCUCAACAUGUGAAUAUGUUCUCCUUAACCGCUGCUGCAUCUCCGAAAUAGAGCUAGACCCCUCUCUUCCAGAUAUCUGAUUAUAAGCUGGAAGUUUCUUAGAAAUGCUUUCAAGCUCAGUCUGGAUUGCUUUGACCUUCUUUCCGAUUUUGUGCAAAUGAAAAGGCUUGGUGAAUCUCUUGAUAAUUCCGUAAAAGCCUCCUUCAUGUGCGACUUGAAGAAUGAAGUCGUCAAUAACAUCUUCUGCUUCAUAAGCAAGAUCUCUGAUUUGUCUCACCAAAGUGCGGUUAAGCUUAUUUUGAUCUUGCCUACUGUCUGCAUCCUCCAAGGAGCUCUUCAUCCGCUCCAGUUCAGCCUUGAGGCCCUCCACUUCGUCACGAACUCCACGCAGGAAAACAGCCUCAUGAAUGAGUAAAUCCGAUAUUCUUUCAAUAGCUAAGGACACAAUAGCAUCUGCCAUUUCUCCUGCUGAUUGAAAUUACUCUUCUUUUUUCAAGAUUUCAAACUGAUCCGCCUGUUUCUUGUACAUGAAUUAGCUUUAGCUGGUAGCUAUACUUGACUAAAUUGAUACCCUUUUCUCAUUGCUUUUGUUUGGGUUUCGAUUUUUCUAUUUGUCUUUAUCAAAAGGUGUGGAAGCCUGUUGUCUAUUUGACAUUGGACAAGAAAAGCAAAAGGAGAUGGAAUCUCUUUCCUUACUUUCUUGUCCACUAGUAAUUAUUGAAUUCAAUCCCAACUUGCACUGUGGGUGGAUUAAUAUCCCCACCCUGAGGAUAAUUAUCGAAUAGAGAAUUACUCUGUUUUAAGAAAGUCCAAUACUAGGUUACCUGUUAUUGGUGUUUAAAUGAAGUGAUUUAAUCUGAGCCAUGAGCCCGGAAUGGAGAUAACAAGCAAAAUUGCUUUAGCGUUUUUACCGUUUGUGAACUGCAAAUAGGCACUUGUCAAAGAGUGAGAAAACAUAAUGCAAGAAAUUAACCAUGUGGGUAAAGACUCAAUAUAUUUUAUAAUUAUAUUAUAUCAUAUUAUCAUGCCAUAAAAGAUCUAUUAUAGUGUGGGCUACACCCACAUCUUUUAAAAACUAAAAAAAAAAAAAAAUCAAUGCGUAGAAGAUUUAAUAAAAUGAUUGCUGCUUUUGUCAAGCUGAGAGGAAAUAUGGAGGAAGCUAACAUGAAGCAUGUUCUGAGUUCAAGAAGAUAUAUAUAUAUAUCCAGUGAAUUUUUUGUUAUUAGUACAAAAUCUUAAGCACUUAAUGUUUAUUUAAAUCCUUAAUUGUUCAUUUAAUGAUAUUUACCAUUAUCAUAUCAUUAAAAAGUGAAAUUAUGCGUUAUCGUAUUAUAAAAUAUUUAUUCUGUGUUUCUUUUGUCAACUCAGCAGCACAAACCCAAAAGCUUCAAUAACUCAAAACAAUGUGGAAGCCCUGACUUUGAAUACCAUACACAAGUUGCCUAAGAUAGACAUUUCAAUUACACAUUGUCAAUAUCGGCAGCUCAACCACUUGUUUUUAGUUAUAAAUUCAAAGACCUGAUAAGUUCCUUUUUGAGGUAAAAUUUGUUAAAAGAAUCGAAAACUUGAAUUAAAUCUAAUAAGUUUCUUUCUAUUUUUCAGUCAUUCGCUAAUAAAAUAAAUGAUAGGGGGAAAGCAUAUAUUAUUUUUAAUUAGAUAAAAAAAAUUAGAAGACAUAGGGUAAAAUAUGGAUUUAAUUAAAAACAAUUGAAUUGAUAAGAGUGUAAUUUAAAUUUGCUUUUUAGGGUUACAUGGUCGAAUUUGAUCAAGUAAACCACAGUCUUUCCCGGUUACUAAGUUAUAAAUCCAUAGGGCUUUUUUGCUUGACACUCAGCUUACUGCCAUCCCUGCUCUAGCAAAUCAGUGGCAAACUUCCCAAGACAAUGAAACAUGCUGAGAAUUCUUGGGAGUUUCACAGAUCAAAUCUUCACAUUUCAUGCUCAAAAUAGAAAACCAAACAUUAAUAUUUUUUAUUUUUUAUUUAAUUAGUUAUGAUUGCCAACAUUUAUAACCAUAUUUAAAGAAAACUCCAAAGAGCUUCCCUGCUUGACACUUGCAAUGAUAUUGCUUGAAAGACAAAAUCAACUAUAAAGCCCAAAUCCAACAGCCAUGAGAGGUGAAAUUAUAUCUAUACAGAUUUAACUAUUUGAUGUCAAUCUCACUUUAUAAAUUUAUUAAUAAUAUAAAAAGAAAAUUCUUAACAACUAAAUCCAUUAAAUCCAAAAAACGAGUUUGCUUACUUACAUAUCAGUAUUUUUUUUAUGAUAGCCAUUACACAAAUCUCAUAAAAUUUUCAAACUGAGUAUUUUCAAAGUUUUUUACAUCAUUCAACAUGUUUUCUUUUAAAUACAUAUAAAAUUUGACAUUAUAGGAAUAUCUCAUUUCAAGUCUAUUUUAUCAUCUAAAAUUUAUACACAAGAGAAAAAAGUUAAGAGAAAAAUAAGAAGCAAAAAGAAAUACUAUAAUUUGUAUAGUUACACUCUUUUGCUUCAUCAUCAGCAAACAAGCACGUAAUUGAUUAUACAACUUCAGAUCGUUAAAUCAACUUGAUUAUGAAAAAAAAACAAAGAAAACACUUACUUGCAUCUGAAUACCCUAUUUAAACUAAUAAAUAAUCUCAUGUAAACUUUUUACAAUAGGUUGGACAUUGAAAAUUACGAAUAAUAAAAAAGGUUUGUUAUAUUUAAAGGAAGUCUCAAAGGAUUUUUGGCUUGACACUUAAUAGGGUUUUUGGUUGGACACGUGGUUGUUGAGGCAUGGGCUUGAGACCAAAUGGGAUUGGUUUAUGGUUGGGUUUUUAAGCGUGAGCUUGAGGUUUGGGGCUGAGUUUGGAUUAGAUUUUUCUUUGACUUUUUAUACUUAAUUAUUUAUAAAAAUUAAUUUUUCUUUAUUCCAUUAUUUAUUACUCCCAUAUCAUUUUUCAGUGCUGAAUGUAACUAAUGUAAAUUGGUAUAUAUCAGCUAGCUAAAAUAAGGUUUUGAGAGAGACUGAGUUACAACAUAUUCUAUUUUUCAAGUGUUAAAUGUAAUUAAUGUUAAGUGGUGUAUAUCAGUUAGCCAAAAAUAGAGUUUUGAUAGAGAUUGAGUUACUACAUAUUUUAUUUUUUAGCGUUAAAUGCAAUUAAUGAAAAGUUAUGCAGAUCAACUAGUUAAAGAUAGAAUCUUAAGAGAGAUUGAAUACUACAUAUUCUAAUAUAAGUUUUAAGAUUUGUUUUAAGAUUUUGUUUUAUCGUGAAAAUGUUUAUUGGUGUUUUUUUGUAUCGAAACACCACUACAAAUACCACAAUGAUUGCUACAAUAACAAUAGUUAUAUAUUUUGUAAAAUAAUAUUUAUAAUAAUAUAAUUACUAUUACAUAUCUAUUUUACAAAGUAUUCUCAACUCAAUUAAAAAAAAAUUACCAUCUCGAACACAUCGCACAGGCAACAAACUAGUAAUAAAAGAAAGUGAUGUCUCUAAGUCAUAUAUCACUACAAUUGUAGCUUAUUGUUUGGGUUAGAAAAUUUUCAAUUGUUUUUUAUUUGAACAUUUAAUGACAAUUUAUAAUCGAAUCAGAAGAUGAUUUUUCCUUUUCUUUUCUUGUAGAAUUUGGUCAUAAAGUCACAAGUCAAGCACAAUCUUUCCAAGCUACAAGUUGUAACAUAUUCUAUGGGUUAAAAAAUUUAAUUGGUUUUCUAUUUCUGCAUUAAAAUGAGAACUGAUAAUCGAAUCAGAUUUUUGUUUAUUUUUCUAUUAUAUAAGAAAUUGGGAUGUCAGAAAAUUUUGGCCAUGUCAAUUAACAAAUUGGAUGCCCCUUAUUUUGGGUCAUUAAUCAUAUUACCAUUUGUCAAUUAUUAUGGAAAAGAAAUUGAAACUGUGAUUUUUCCUACAUUUUUAUCCAAUUGGAAGUGGGAAUUGAAUCCCAUAUUACAAAGAAAGAUCAUAAUGAAUAGUAUUUCUUAAUAAAAAAAUUGAAAGAGCUACCUAUAUAAGGAAUCUUAGAGAGGUACAAUAAAUUUAUUGUAAUUCAAAUGCAAUCAAUAAAAUUAAUGAUAUGAAUAAUAUUCAAUGUAGAUUUCCGCAAAAAAAUAAAGUUCAAUGUACAAUAAAUAAAAUUGAUUGAUAGUUUACUGUUAAUGAUAUGAAAUUUAAUUCAUUAAAAAAAUUAUUUAAUAUAAUAAUCCUAAAGAUUGUCUGAAAGCAGUAAUUACCAAAACCUAACAAUGAUUGAAUGCAUAAUUAAUUAUAUAUAUGGGAAACAUUGAAUAACUGAAUUUCUUCCAUCUUUUUCAAUUGUCUUUGGAUUUACUUUAAUUACAGCACCAAUUAGGCGAAAACCCAAAGGGUCAGUAACACAAAACAAUGUGGAAGUCCUGCCUUGAAUACCAUACACAAGUUGCCUCUUGCUUUUUCUUUGGAUAAGUAAUUAAUUUAGAAGAGAAAGGUUGCAAAAAUAAGAUAGAAUGAAAUAUUAUUUGUUAUCCUCUGCACCAACAUAAGCAUUAAAUUGAAACCUACAGAAUAACAAUCGGUUCAUUCAAACUCACAGCAAUUCAUUUCUAAAAUGCAUUUGGUCAUUAGAUUCAAUUAUCUAUGAAAAAAAAUACAAAUUAAUCUCAAGAAUAACUUGGCAAAAAUGAGGCAAUGUUUGCUGGUAGAAAUUUCAAAACAUGAUGGCUCGAAUGUGAAUCUUCUCCUAUCUUCCCUUUUAAGAAUAGUUUUCUUAAUUUAUGUUCAAGUUAUUAAUAAUGCACCAACCCAGAAGAAAAACAGCCAAUUGGGUUAAAGUCAAAGAAAAGAAAAACUGUAGCAUAAUUAAUAAGUAUUAUAUAUCAUCACUGAAUUUAUUAAUAUCUUUGGUAAAAAUAUUACGAUUUACAUUUAAAGUUACAUAUAUUUGUCUUUGGAUAAACACUCAAUUAUUUUUUGCAUAUAAUUAGCUUAACACUUAUGUUUUAUACGCCAACUAAGGUGAGAUUAGGGAAACCAAGUCCUCAUCUAGCUUAAUGGCAGUUACUAGGUAGUUUCUGUAAUGAACCACUUCUAAGUAAUAUAAUUACAUGCUUUUCAAAAAAAAGUAAUAUAAUUACAUAUAUUUAUCAUUAAAUUAAAUAUUCAGGUUUUUUUAAAAAAAAAUUAGGAUCUAAAUGGUGAAUGCAAAAGAAAAAGCUCUUUUCUUUGUACCUUCUUUCCCACCAAUUUUGUGGUAUAUGCUAUUGUAGUGCGGGCUACUCCCACUGCUCUUAAAGAAAAAAGCAACGAAAAAGAUCAAUCAAGACUCCUGAAUACACAAAGAGACAUUGCAUCACUAGGAAUGAAGAGGAGAUGAAGUGAUACUCAUGAUUCAUCUCAAGAAAUCACCCAUAAUUAGAUCAAAGGAACCAGUUCUACAAGGACCUAGUCAAUCAAAGGGGAAGGACCUAGUCAAUCAAAGGGGGAGGAGAGAAGAAACUAGUAAGCAUUAAAGCCUACAACAUAACAUGUAAAGCUUAAAAGAUAUGAUAUGAUUAUAUAACAUAUCAAAAUGCCAGUACUCAAUUGUUACCUCCAUAAGCAUUAAAUUGGAGUCUACAAAAUAACAAUCGAUUCAUUCAAACUCACAGCAAUUUAUUUCUAAAAAGCACUUGGUCAUUAGAUUCAAUUAUCCAGAAAAGAAAUACUGAUUAAACUUUCAAACAAUCAAAAAGCAAAUCCAGAUGAUCCCCCAUGUUGCUCCUAUUGGUAGAGUAUAUUUCAGAGCUGAUUAGAUUUACCUACACCAAGAAGAAAAUGGCAUCAUCUCUUAUGAAAAGAAUAGACCCCAAUCAAAACAAAAAAGAUUAUCAUAGAAAUAUCUAACUCACAUACAAUUACUUUCAGUUGAGGAUUGACAUUGCAAAAUUAGAGUUUUUAACCUUCCCACGUAUCACUUAUUUGGAUGGAGGGAAUGUGGCGCACUUUAGAGAAAUCCUCUCAUUCUCUUCUGUCUAUCACUUGAAUCCUCUCUACCAAUGACCUCUUCAUUCUGUAUAAUUCCAUUUCCUGGAGAGCAAUAACACACCUCAACCCUUUUGGAAAAAUCCUCAAAUUUGGAACCAAACUCAGACUUAAACUCCGAAGACGUGGCAUUGCGCCUUCUUCUAUCUGCCACUCUUUUAAUUCUUCUAACUCCCAAAUACCAAGACAAUCAAGUUGAAGAAAAUCGUUGGCAGAGCAAACCAGUUUAGUCCCCUUAUAUGAGAGAGUUGAUAAUUGGAGAGUCCUCAAAUGAGGCAGCUUUCCCAAUACAUCCAUUGGAUCCUGCUUCAUCUCACAAUCCCACAAAGUCAACUUGACAAUGUUUGCCGGAAAAAAUUUCAAAAUAUGAUGGCUCAAAUGUGGAUCUUCUCGUAGCUUCCCUCUUAAGAAUAGUUUUGAUAGGUGAUGGCAAUGAGAAAGGGGUUCCAAGUCUAGGUAUGGGAUUGAAUCCUCUAACCGCAUGUACAAUGACCCAGGGCAUUGUGAUUCAAUCAGUGCUUUUAGGAUAGGCUCCACAUCUUUUGAUCUCUCAAAAGUUAUUCCUAAACUCUGAAUAUUUGUCCAGUCGAGCACUGCAUUAUUUUCAAUUAAACUCUUGCACCUUAUGUACUUUAAAAUUUCAAUAUUUUUUAAAGUACCUCUUCGCGGCAAAUGCAAAUAUAAACUUACUAUAAUAUGCCUUAAGCGUCUCAACUUGAAUAAAACAUCAGGAAUUCUUGGUGCUUCAUUUGGGAGGUAUAAAGUGUGUAAACACUUCAACUUGCCAAUAGAUCAUGACAAGAUGAUGCUUCUUGGACAUUGCAACUUCAAAUUCCUCAAAUGAUAUAGAUUACCAAUCACACUUGACACAAGUCAGUUAAACAUGUUCUUUCUCCCAAGAUUCAACACCGUUAAGAAUUUGAAAUCAUUGCAUUUUGAAACGUGCAAUUCUAUCAAUUUUCGUUUUGAAGGAACAAAAGAGAACAUAAAUUUGAAUGUUUUCCCUUCAAAGAAACAUACCUUUUGCUAGGAAGAAUAGCAAUUCUUCGUGCCAUAGAUGGUGUCAAGGUCACAUGAAGAGUAUUACCAUCGUUUUUGAUUAAUGAUGGCUGAAUAAUUUCUAAGAAAUUCUCCUCUCGAGCUUUUAGCACGCACAAGUCCCUCAAGAGAUCAUGUAUGUGACAUGUUUUCACACCUGUUCCUAUAUGGUCCCUCUUGCCAUAUUGAACCAAACAUUUAUUUAUUAGCUUUUCUAGGAAUUGUUAAGCUACAUCCUCCAUCAACAUUCCCCCACAUUCCCAUGAUGGUGAAAUGAAACUUUCUGCAAUCCAUAAUCGAAUGAGUUCCUUUUUUAAGAUCUCCCAAUCUUCUAGAUAAUGGUCAAGAUAUAGGAAGCAUGGUUUUGAAUGAAAAGGCAACUCAUUGUAGCUUAAAGUCAAAAUCCCAUUCACUCCACCAUAAUGAUGUUCUUGUUGUUGAAACUCGUUUAAGUGUGCAUUGAUAUUUUGAUUACAAAUCUCCCAUUGAGCUUGUGACCUUUUUGUUGCUAGCAAGCCUCCCAACAUAAUAAUUGCCAAAGGUAGACCUCCACUUUUUUCACCAUCUCUCUUCCUAGCAACUCCAAUUCUUUUGCGCAAGCAUGAAACUUUGUCUUCUUUCUUGGGAAUGGUUUCAUUCUAAAAAGCUUCCAACUCUCAACAUCUGUAAGAAAUUGAAGCUCUAUUGAAAAGUUGCAAGGAUUGACAUGUAACGCCACUUUCUUGUGGUACGUUGUGAAUAAAAUUUUCCUUCUUUUUUUUCCUUGUGGAAAAGCAUGUUUAAGACUAUUCCAAUGCUCUUUUCUCCCCAUAUCAUUAAGGAUCACCAAGUAUCGUUUUUCUUUUAAAAAACCAUAAACCUUUUCCAUCCACUCAUUCUCUUCCAGUUUAUCAAUUAACUCCCUUUCUUCUUUAGAAGGAGAGAGAAGUUUUAUGCGGAGACCAUGCAAAACUUCUCUUAGCAUACAUUGUCGAGAUAUAAAAGCCCAAGCAAAACAAUCAAAAAGUCAUUUCACAUCAAUAUGCUUAUAUACUGUUUUUUUGUAAAAGUGGUCUCACCAAUGCCCCCCAUGCCGACUACCAAAACAACAACAUGAAGUCUAUCUUCUUCAGUCAUCAGGCUGAGCCAAAACUAACAACUCUAUUUCAUAGAGUUAUCUCAUCAGUUUCAGGUGCCAAAAUGAUCACAGUUCUUGAGUUUUUCUAGUAUAAAUUAGUUAUUGUAGUUACUUUUCUUUGAAUUUUACAUAAGCAUGUCAAUUUAAUUUAACUUCUGUCAAUUUAAUCAAUUAGGGAUUAAAAUGUUAAAUUGAGUUGCUAUUGAAUUAGCACUUGCUUAGUAGGAGUAUGAAUGAAGAAAGAAUGUGCAAAGGAUGAUAAGUGCAGAAGUGGAUUGCAUCUACUUUAGUAGUCUAAGCUAAGGGAAAGACCUUCAACAUUCAUGUUGAUUAUGUCGACUAGUUUCAAUCUAAGCGAGGCUAAAAUUCACAAGCAAAAUGGCUUAAUGUAGCAGGAUGAAGCAUUGAAACAAGGAACAAUAGUAGAAAACAACAAGCACAGCGCUGCAGCGUCUCACUCUCAGCACUGCAGUGUUGCCUAGUACCAUUCUUACAAGGUAGUAGCAUCAGUGCUGCAGCCCCAAGUCUGUAGCACUGCAGCGCUGUCCUUAGCAGCACAAACCCUCCACCAGGCAAUAAGCUUGGCGCUGCAGCGCCAAACUCUCAACACUGUAGUGCUGUCCAGUGAAUCAACAUUGCCUUUGGCAGUGAACUUGGUGCUGCAGCGCCAGAAACUCAACGCUGCAGCGCCAACUUAAAUGAAGAAGUCUGGACCCUUCGAUCUUUCAGAUCAGAGGUAGAGUGCUAUAAAAAGAGGCCUUUUCAGGGCUAAAAAGGGAGAUCGGGGAGAGUAGCUUUUCAGAAAAAUAGAAAAAAGUGAGGGAUUUGGUCUACACAAAAGAGGAAAAGGGAGAAGAGCAGUGAAGGAUUUUCUUGGGAGUUGAAUCAUCCACAUCAGCUUACCUUUCUCAAACUAGUUUCAUCUCUCUUUGUUAUUGUAGAAAUGAACAUUUUUCCUGAGCAUAUUGAGUUUUGUAUUAAAUAUGUUGAACUAGAAUUUUUAAUUUAAAAUUAUGAUGGAUUUCAAUAUGUAGCUUGGCUAUUGUGUUGGUUUAUUGCUUAUUUUUUUUAUGAAAAUAUUGAUAUUUACUCAAAUUGGAGUUUAUUGCCCAUUUAUUUGCUUGAUCACUAUUUAAAUGCAUCUAGGUAUUUAGAUGACACUUGAGAGACUUAGUCUAAAUUAGACCUUGAUUUGGGUAAUGUGUUCAAUACACUUAGAAAGGAAUUUUAAUAUUUUGAUUUGCAAUUAGAGUAGACAUAUAUUUAAUUGCCACAUAUAGUCAAUUUUUAGAACAUUUACUUAAAGAACUUAAUUUAAUUGUUUCCUAUAAACAUAUACUCAUUCAAUUAAGUUAAGCAAUUGUGUAAUAUUUUUACAGAGAAUUACACAUACUUUAAGAUUCUAGACUAACAUCAAUUUUCUUUAAAAUUAAAUAAUUAAGCAAACACAAUUUCAAGUGAAAUAUUAAAGGAUACCAUAAUCGUAGACUAUUAGAGCAUUACUUCCACCUUAAUUUGUUAUUUGCACUCCUUAGAUUAUACUUAGUUAAUUAGAUUACUUUUUAAUCAUUGCUCAAAAUUUGGUACUUGGAUAAAAUUAGUUUAUUUUAAUUUUAAUAAUUAGUAACAACAAUUAAAUCAACUCAUCGAGGGAUCGACAAACUCAAUUUAUUACUAUAUUACUUGUUGUGAUUGUGUGUACUUGCAUGAAAUCUUUUCUUGUAUUUUGCAUUUAAUUUUGAGCAUAUCUGAUAUCACACAAGCAAAAAAAAAGAUUUACACAACAAAAACAUCAUUUGUGAUACCCUCCAAGCUAACAACGUCCUCUACCUUAACAUGUGUUUAUGUUCUUAACCAUUGCUGCAUUUAGCAAAUAGAGCUAGACCCCUCUCCUCCAGAUAUUUGAUCAUAAGCUGGAAGACCCUUAGAAAGGCCAUCAAGCUUAGUCUGGAUUGCUUUGACCUUCAGCUGAUUUUGUUCAGAUGAUUUUUCUUAUAUUUUUAUCAAAUUGGAAGUGAGAAUUGAAUCCCAUAUUAGAAAGAAAUUAGAUAACGGAAAACUGUUAUUCAAAUAGAAAAAAACGAUGAAUUUAAGUAUUUGGUUUAAUGAUAAAUAAUGAGUCUAUUAAAAAAAAUUCUCUUUUAACAAAUCCUAACGAUAUUGAGACCAAAAAACUCAAUGGUGCUACCAUGGGUAUAUGUAAAAAAAAUAUUUUUUUAAAGUAUAUUUAUUAGUCUCGAGAAUCAGUGUGUUAUCCGAAGUCUCUUACUUAAUUGGUUGAAGACUUUUCAUGGUACAAGAACUAGGUUUGGGCAAAGGAAACUUAUACAAUUACAAAAAAUAAUUUCCAUGACCUAACAAUGGUGUUGUUAACUUUGUAUAUAUGCAAUUAAAAUUUUUUUUAUAAAAACUGGUCUAAUUGACUCUUGGCAUUCAAAACUUUCUAUGCAAUUACUAGUUGAUUAUUAGUUAAUGAAUUUCCCUUUUGUCUAUUUUUGGUUGAUUUUUAGUUAUAAAAUACCCUUUGAAAACAAUUGUAUUGACAAGUGUGCAAUUUAAAUUUGCUUUUUGGGUUAGAAGGUAGAAUUUGAUCAUAUAAGUCUUAAGUCAACUACGUACAAUCUUUCCAAGCUACAAGUUGUAACGUAUUCUUUGGGUUAAAAAUUUUCAUUGGUUUUCUUUCAGCUUUAAAAUGUCAAUUCAUAAUCGAAUCAAACUUUGUUUUUAAUUUUCUUUUAUUAUAAGAAAUUGGGAUGUUAGAAACGGAUUGAAUCAUCUAACUAAACAUGAGCUCAAAGAUUUGUCCCAAAUAAAUCACAUACAUAUCUAGAUCUUUGUUGACAUAAGGAGGUUUACCCAAAAGAAUUGCUUGCAACUACUCCAUCUAGAAAUGAUCAUAAUCCAGAGAAUCUUGCGCUAGAUGCUUGGUUUUCAAUUUUGACCAUGUCAAUUGACAAAUUGGAUGUCCCUUAUCUUGGGUUUUUCUAUUUUUUUUUAUGGUUAAAUUCAUAUCUUGGGUCAUUAACCAUAAUAUAAUUUGUCAAUUGUCAUGGAAAAGAAAUUGAAAUUGUGAUUUUUCCUACAUUUUUAUCAAAUUGGAAGUGGAAAUUAAAACCCAUAUUAGAAAGAAAGAUCAUAAUGGAGAGUUGUUCAAAUAGAAAAAAAAAGUAUUUCUUAAUUAAAAAUUGAAAGACUUGCCUAUAUAAUGAAUCUUAGAUAGGUACAGUAAACAAAAUUAAUGCUAUGAAUAAUGUUCAAUGUAAAAUAAAUAAAAUUGAUUGAUAGUUUACUGUUACUGUUAUGAAUUUUAAUGCAUUUUAAAAAAUAAAUUAUUUAAUAUAAUAAACUUAAAGAGUGUCUUAAAGUAGUAAUUACCAAAACCUAACAAUGAUUGAAUGCAUAGUUAUUUAUAUAUACUUAGCAAAUAUUUAUGAUUCCCUUGUCACAUUGAAUAACUCAAUUUUCUUCCAUCCUUUUCAAUUUCUUUGGAUUUACUUUAAUUGCAGCACAAUUAAGCAAAAACCCAAAGCUUCAAUAACACAAAACAAUGUGCAACUAUACACAAGUUGUCCCUUUGUUUAAUCUUCUGUUUUUUUUUCUUUGGAUAAGCAAAUAAUCUAGAAGUAAAAGGUUGCAAAAAUAAGAUAGAAUGAAAUAUUUUUUGUUUUUUUACCCAUAUUAUCGUUUUAUAUAUAAAUGAAAUUAUGUAUUAUCUCGUCACAAGAUAUUUAUUUAGUGUUUUUUUUAUCAAUGCAUUUUCUUUAUUUAGAGAAAAGAAAAAUCAAAUCCAAUUCUUUGAAUAAGUGUACAUACAGCUUUCAAAAAAAUACAUACAUAUUUACUAUUAAAUGAAAUAAUCAAAUAUCUCUUUUGUCAAAUAAAGAUAUGAUUAUAUAAUAUCAAAGUGCUAAAUAUUAUUGAAAAAAGACUGAUACAUUAAUUCAUCUCAAAGCUAAUACAAUAAACAAGAAAAAAAAUCUCUAAAAAGAACAAAACAUAGAAAUAAAAUUCAGAAAACAAGACUUUCAAUAGCUUUUGCCUUUAAGUACUAGCAAACAAAUGGAUAAUCUUCACUUGUGAAUAUCUAUAAUUAACUAAUAAUCGGUUCAUUCAAAUUCACAGCAAUUCAUUUAUAAAAAGCACUUGAUCAUUAGAUUCAGUUAUCAAAGAAAAAAUACAAAUUAAACUUUUGAACAAUCAAAAAGCAAAUCCAAGUGAUCCCCCUUGCUGCCUUUAUUGGCAGAGUACAUUUCUGGGCCGAUUAGAGUUACCUACAUCAAGAAGAAAAUGGCAUCAUCUCUUAUGAAAAGGAUAGACCCCAAUCAAAACCAAAAAAAAAAAAUUAUCAUAUAAAUAUCGAAGUCACCUGCAACCACUUUGAGUUGAGGAUUUGACAUUGCAAAAUUAGAGCUUUCAGUCCUUCUCUGUAUGCAUUAUUCGGAUGGAGGGUAUGUGGCACACUUUAAAGAAAUCCUCUCCUUCUCUUCCUUCUAUCACUUGAAUCCUUUCUACUAAUGACCUCUUCAUUCUCUCUAAUUUCAUUUCUUGGAGAGCAGUAAUAUACCUCAACCCUUCUGGAAAAAUCUUCAAAUUUGAAACCCAGCCCAGAAUUAAAAUCCGAAGAUGUUGCAUUGCGCCGUCUUCUAUCUGCCACUCUUCUAAUUCUGGUAGAUUCCAAAUUUGAAGAAAAUCAAGUUGAAGAAAAUCAUUCGCUGAGCAAACCAUUUUAAUCCCCGAAUAUGAGUAAGCAAAUAAGCAAAGAGUCCUCAAAUGUGGCAACUUUCCCAAUACAGCCAUUGGAUCCUGCUUUAUCUUACAACCUAUCAAAGAUAACUUGAUAAUGUUUGCUGGCAGAAAUUUCAAAAGAUGAUGGCUCGAAUGUGGAUCUUCUUGUAACUUCCCUCUUAAAAAUAGUUUUGAUAGGUGAUGGCAAUGAGAAAGGGGUUCCAUGUCUGGAUAUGGGAUUGAAUCCUCCAACCACAUGUACAAUGACCUAAGGCGUUGUGAUUCAAUCAGUGCUUUUAUGAUAGGCUCCACAUCUUUUGAUCUCUCAAAACUUAUUCCUAAACUCCGAAUAUUACUCAAGUCGAGCACUGCAUUAUUUUCAAUUAAACUCUUGCCCUUUAUGUACUUUAAAGUUUCAAUAUUUUUUAAAGUAUCCCUCAGCAACAAAGGCACAUAUGUACGUAGACCGCCUACUGCAAUAUGCCUUAAGCGUCUCAACUUGAAAAAAACAUCAGGAAUUCUUGAUGCUUGAUAUAGGAGGUAUAAAGUGUGUAAAUUCUUCAACUUGCCAAUAGACCGUGGCAAGAUGAUGGUUCCAGUAGAUCUCAACCUCAAAUACCUCAAAUGAUGUAGAUUACCAAUUUCACUUGACACAUGCCACUUGGACAACAUAUCAUUUCUCGCAAGAUUCAACACCCUUAAGAAUUUGAAAUCAUUGCAUUUUGAAAUGUGCAAUUCUAUCAAUUUCUCAUUUUGGAAGAGCAAAAGAGAACGUAAAUUUGGAUGUUUUCCCUUCAAAGAGACAUACCUUUUGCUAGGAUGAAUAGCAAUUCUUCGUGCCAUAGAUGGUGUCAAGGUCACAUGAAGAGUAUUACCAUAUUUUUCGAUCAAUGAUGGCCGAAUGAUUUCUAAGAAAUUUUCCUCUCGAGCUUUUAGCACACACAAGUCCCUCAAGAGAUCAUGUACGUGACAUGUUUUCACACCUAUUCCUGUAUGGUCCCUCUUGCCAACUUGAACCAAACAUCUAUUUAUUAGCUCUUCUAGGAAUUGUUCAGCUAAAUCCUCCAUCAACAUUCCCCCACUUUCCCAUGAUGGUGAAAUGAAACCUUCUGCAAUCCAUAAUCGUAUGAGUUCCUUCUUUGAAAUCUCCCAAUCUUCUGGAUAAUUGCUAAGAUAUAGGAAACAUGGUUUUAAAUGAAAGGGCAACUCAUUAUAACUUAAAACCAAAAUCCAAUUCACUCCACCAUAAUGAUGAUCUUGUUGUUGAAACUCGUUUAAGUGUGCAUUGAUAUUUUGGUGAACCGUCUCCCAUUGAGCUCGUGACCUUUUUGUUGCUAGCAAGCCUCCCAACGUAGCAAUUGCCAAAGGUAGACCUCCACAUUUUUCCACCAUGUCUCUUCCUAGCAUCUCCAAUUCUUUUGCGCAAGCAUGUAACUCUGUCUUCUUUCCUGGGAAUGCUUUCAUUCUAAAAAGCUUCCAACUCUCAUCAUCUGUAAGACAUUGAAGCUCUAUUGGGGAGUUGCAAGGAUCGGCAUGUAACGCCACUUCCUUGUUGCGUGUUGUGAAUAAAAUUUUGCUUCCCUCUUUUCCUCGUGGAAAAGCAUGUUUAAGACUAUUCCAAUGCUCUUUUCUCCAAAUAUCAUCAAAGACCACCAAGUAUCGUUUUUCUUUUAAAAAAUCAUAAACCUUUUCCAUCAACUCGUUCUCUUCCAGUUUAUCAAUUAACUCCCUUUCUUCUUUAGAAGGAGAGAGAAGUUUUAUGAGGAGACCUUGCAAAACUUGUCUUAGCAUACAUUGUUGAGAUAUAAAAGCCCAAGCACAACAAUCAAAACGUCGUUUCACAUCAAUAUGCUUAUAUACUUUUUUUGCGAGAGUGGUCUUACCAAUGCCCCCCAUGCCAACAAUUGAAACAACAACAUGAAGUCUAUCUUCUUCGGUCAUCAACUGAGCCAAAACCUCAUUUGUGAUACACUCCAAGCUAACAAGAUCCUCUUCCUCAACAUGUAUAUAUGUUCUUCUUAACUGCUGCUGCAUCUUGGCAAUAGAGCUAGACCCCUCUCCACUCGAUAUCUGAUUAUAAGUUGGAAGACCCUUAGAAAGGCCUUCAAGCUUAGUCUGGAUUGCUUUGACCUUCACCCCGAUUUUGUACAGAUGAAAAGGCUUGGUGAAUCUCUUGAUGAUUCCAUGAAAGCCUCCUUGAUGUGCAAAUCGAAGAAUGAAGUUGUCAAUAACAUCUUCUGCUUCAUAAGCAAGAUCUCUGAUUUGUCUCACCAAAGUGCGGGUAAGCUCAUUUUGGUCUUGCUUCUUAUUGUCUGCAUCCUUCAAGGAGCUCUUCAUCCGCUCCAGUUCAGCCUUUAAGUCCUCCACUUCCUCACGAACUCCAAGCAAGAAAACAGCUUCAUGAAUGAGUAAAUCGGAUAUUCUUUCAAUAGCUAAGGACACAAUAGCCUGUUCCAUUUCUGCUGUUGAUUCAAAGUACUCUUCUCUUUUCAAGGAUCUCAGUAUUAGCUGGGCCUCACUUGGAAGACAAUGAAGCAAAGGCUGGUGCUAAGUAGGAGCACAAAGGGAGCUUCAACUUCAUUUCUUGAUUAAUCUCAACAUAUCACCACCAACAAGAUACAAGGAACUACUUACUAGGACCUAUUCAAUCAAAAUAAGGAAAUCAUAAAAACCCAAGAGAAGCACAAGAGACGUAGGUGUAACCACCAAAAGCAUACAAAGUAACCCCUUUUCUUUUACAGCUAAGCCAUGACCUCAAUACGUUUUGAAUUACACCCUGCCGACUUAUCAAAUAUUCAACUAAUUUACAGCCACAAUGACAUAUUAUCUACCUCGAUUUAAUUAGUUUAUUAUUGGAGACUUGUCAGAUAUAAUAUGGCCUGUACAAUUUUUUUUAAAGGGCCAAAUUGGCUUAUUCAAAUUCAACUCUUUCUUGCUUCAAUAAUAGUAGUAAUUAUAAAUUCGUAACAUAAAUUCGUAAAUAAACAAACAAAUUUAUCAUCAUCAUUCAAUGGAGUACUGGUCUGGAAGGAGCCAUAGUCAACUUAUGACUCAAACCAGCUUACAUGGGUCCACUUUUUUUGGUAAAAUUUUCAUUACAAAAUCAAAUAAAUUUUUAUAUUUCAUAAUCAAUUAAUAAUUAUUAAUUAAAAUAUUAUGUAUUAUUUUUAUAUUUAUAUAAUGCUUAUGUAGUAUUGACGUGAAAGGUGAAAAUAUACAUAAUCAUUUUAAUAUGUUAUAUCAAUAUGGUACGUCAUCAUUCAUUAUUAUAUAUCAAUAUAUUACGUAACACAAAAUGAUAAAUGAUAUUUUCAUUACAGCUACUAAUUAAUUAUUAAUUAUAAAAAUAUAUAUUAUGACAUAUCAGUAUGUCAUGUCAAUAUCAUAUUAUAUAAAAAAAUAAAUAAUAUUCAUUUAACAAAGCAUUAAACAUAUAAAAAUAUUCAACUAAUUGACAGCAAAAAGGACAUAUUAUCUAUCUCGAUUUAGUUAGUUUAUUACAGAGGAAACCUUAAUUAUUUUUUGACUUGGGUACUAUGUGGAUUGGUGAAGGCAUUCAUGAAGAAAGGAGUUUUAUGUUAUGAUUGUUCCUCGUCAGUUAUUCAUUUUAGAAAUCCUUUCAUGGAGAUAUGAGGAACUUUCGUCUUGAAAUUUUAAUAGUAGCAAUUAGCAAAGGAUAAUUCAUUGAAUACUACUUAUUUUUUAGAGUAUUACUCUGUUUUAAGAAGGUCCAAUCCUCAUUUAUGCAGGAAAACAGCUUCAUGAAUGUGUAAAUCCGAUAUUCUUUCAAUAGCUAAGGAUAUAAUAGUCUCUUCCAUUUCUCUUGCUGAUUCAACUUACUUUUCUUUUCUAGGAUUUAAAACUGAUCCGCCUGUUUCUUCCAUAUGUAUAAAUUACAAUUUGUGACUUGGAAGUUGGUUCAUGAUAUAAAUUACACUUGUCAAAGAAUGAGAAACAUAAUGUAAAAAAUUAACCUUGCCGGUAAAGACACAAUAAUUUUUUUUAAUUAUAGUAUAUUUUUCGUGAUUAUUGUUCAUUAAAUAAUAUUUGCACGUUAUCAUAUUACCGAGAAAUUAAAUUGUGUUAUAAAAGAUUUAUUUUACGUUUUUUUGUUAAAUAAUUUUUUCUAUUUAAAAAUAAAAUUCUAAUCCAACUCUUUGAAAUAGAUAUGUUUAUUAUUUGAACCAAAAUUCUUACGAAGAAGUUAGGGCUCUGAGCUUUUUUUUUAUACUAAUGCAAAAGCCAAAGCUCUUUCCCUUGUACCUUGUUUUCCACAAACUUUCUCAUAUAUGCUUAUUGUGGUGUGAGCUAAUGCCACUUCUUUUAAAAAGGGAGAAGAAAAAGAUCCAUAAUAUGGCCGACAUGGAAGAUUAAAUAAAAAAAGAAUAUUAUUUUUUGUCAAACCGAGAGGAAUUUUGGAGGAAACUAACAUCAAACAUGUUCUAAGUAUUGGUGAUUGUAGUGAGGGCUACUACCACUUCUUCUUUUUUUAAACAAAAUCAAUAAAAUUCCCGACUAAAAAGGUUAAAUUAAAAAGAAUAUAUGUUAAAUCAACACCAAAAAUCGAAGUUACUAUGUUUGAAAAGACUAAUAUAGAACAUGGUAUUGGUGGUAGCCUUUUUCUCUCAAUUAUUUAUGUUAAACUCUUUCUAAAGCUUAGCCUAUAUUAACCAAAGAGCUCAACCAGAAGACAGACGAGACAAAGACAUGAUGAACAAGGAACACAAGCAGCACACCACCAGGUUCAUAACAUUUCCUUAACUACCAUCACAGAGGAACAGAGGCAGGGAGAUGCUCCGAAUAUAACAACACAGACAACAUGGCAACUCCAAAGCAAAAAUGUCCAAACCAAUCAAAAGAGGAAAUCAUCCCACUGAAAACGAAAAAGCAGAUCAGGAGUUGAUCAGCUCUUAAUCCUUGGAAAAUUAAGUGAUUGUUUCAUACCAUUAAUUCAACAACAACAACAAUCAAAAGCAAAUUAAGCUGCCCCCUUGUUGCUCUUAUUAACACGGUUGCAUUUCGUGAUCAAAUAAGGCAUCCAACCUCGGCUCAUAUCAAGUCCCCACCUAUUGUACCCAAACCCAAAUUGUUUAUUUUUAUUACAUUGCUUGCCUACUCCUUUUGGUAAGAUAGUAAAAGAAGAGAAGAUUUGAAUCCAACUCUUUAAAAUUAUUUGAUAAAAGUAUAUUAUAGUAUUAUCUCAAUAAUUUAAAAUAUGGGCACAAACUUUUUGGUACAUAAUUUUACUAUUAAGUUUUAAGAUUAAGAGCAACACACAAAAUGAAAAUAAAGGAUAAAACCUUAAUUAUUUUUCUACUUGGGUUCCAUGUGAAAUGGUGAAGGCAUCCAUGAAGUAGGAGUUUUAUGUUUUGCUUUGAUUUCAUAGUUUUCUUGGGUUAUGAUGGUUCCUCUUAAUUUAUUCAUUUCAAUAAUCAAUUCAUGGAGAUAUGAGGAACCUUCAACACUUACACGCUCUCACAAUUCAUAAAAAGAAAAGACAAAGAGCCUCAUUCAUCCAAAACGCUCAACCAGAAAACACCCGAGACAAAGACAUCAUCAACAAGGAACACAAGCAGCACACCACCAGGUUCAUAACAUUUCCUUAACCAACAUCACAGAGAAACAGAACCAGGGAGAUGCUCCAAAAACAACAACACAAAGACACCACGGCAGCUCCAAAGCAAAAAUGUCCAAACCAAUCAAAAGAGGAAAUCAGCCAAUAGUAAACAUCACAACAACCGUGGCAUCACCAAGCAAACAAAGCCGAAUGAAACCAGAGAGAAGUUUGAAUCAUCCCAUUGAAAACCAAAAAGCAGAGGACUUGAUCACCUCAUAAUCCUUGGAAAUUAUGUAUCCAACCUCACCUCCUAUCAAGUCGCCACCUUAUUGGCACUAAAUGUAUUUCAAUGCCGAUUAGAUUUACCUACACCAAGAAGAAAAUGGCAUCAUCUCCUAAGAAAAGGAUAGAUCCAAAUCAAAACAAAAAAAACAUUACCAUAGAAAUAUGUAACUCACCUGCAACAACUUUGAGUUGAGGAUUUGAAAUUGCAAAAUUAGAGUUUUCAAUCUUCCAGCGUAUCACUUAUUUGGAUGGAGGGUAUGUGGCGCACUUUAGAGAAAUCCUCUCCUUCUCUUCCGUCUAUGACUUGAAUCCUCUCUACCAAUGGCCUCCUAAAGUAUUUUAAUUUCAUUUCUUGAAGAGCAGUAAUAUACCUCAACCCUUCUGGAAACAUCCUCAAAUUAUGAAGCGCCAGAAGAUUUAAACUCUGGAGACGUGGCAUUGCGCCUUCCCCUAUCUGCCACUCUUCUAAUUCGGAUAAAAGCCAAAUAUCAAGAAAUUCAAGUUGAAGAAAGUCAUUGGCAGAGCAAACCAUUUUACUCCCCUCAUAUGAAUUCGAAAGUAAUUUAAGAAUCCUCAAAUUAGGCAGCUUUCCCAAUACAACCAUUGGAUCCUGGUUCAUCUUAGAAAACAACAAAGUUAACUUGACGAUGUUUGCUGGUAGAAAAUUCAAAACAUGAUGGCUCAAAUGCGGAUCUUCUUGUAUCUCUCCGCUUAAGUAUAGUUUUGAGAGGUGAUUGCACUGAGAAAGGGGUUCCAAGUUUGAACAUGUGGUUGAAUCCUCAAAAUCAAUGAACAAUGACGAAAGGCGGUGUGAUUCGAUCAAUGCUCUUAGGAAAGGCUCCACAUCUUUUGAUCUCUCAAAAGUUAUUCCUAAACUCCGAAUAUUAGUCAAGUCGAGCACUGCAUUAUUUUCAAUUAAA